rnacentral:rRNA from 1 species
CAGUAGCCGCGGUAAAACGGAGGGCGCGAGCGUUACCCGGAUUUACUGGGCGUAAAGGGCGUGUAGGCGGCCUGGGGCGUCCCAUGUGAAAGGCCACGGCUCAACCGUGGAGGAGCGUGGGAUACGCUCAGGCUAGAGGGUGGGAGAGGGUGGUGGAAUUCCCGGAGUAGCGGUGAAAUGCGCAGAUACCGGGAGGAACGCCGAUGGCGAAGGCAGCCACCUGGUCCACUUCUGACGCUGAGGCGCGAAAGCGUGGGGAGCAAACAGGAUUAGAUACCCGAGUAGUCCCUGUCUCUUAUAC